ensembl:lncRNA
AAAAAGCCAUGCUUUGUUUAGUGAUGUCAGUGCUGUGGCACUGGCUGGGGACAAACUGCUGCAUGCGCAGCUCCUCGUUAGUAUAGUGGACAGUAUCUCCGCCUGUCACGCGGAAGACCGGGGUUCGAUUCCCCGACGGGGAGAGCUAGCUCUUUUCUGCUUGCUGGACGACCAAUCCAAAAGUUUUUUUGGCGCAACCACGGGCUCACAGAAGGAGUGCGGCUACGAUGUCAGCCCGAGCCAAAGGAAAUGCGUUGGCCGGGAAUCGAACCCGGGUCAACUGCUUGGAAGGCAGCUAUGCUCACCACUAUACCACCAACGCAGGCAGAAGGUGCCAGAAAUACAGGUCACUCGCAAAAGCUCCCCUCCACGGAAAUCUUUAGUAAAAGGCGAAAGAUUUAUGCGACAAUGAAGAGAAACUCGAGCUGUAUCCCCACCCCCUUGGGCCUGUGCGCUGCCAGUGGUAAGCCACUAUUCUCACCUAGGGUCAUCAAUGGUGAAGACACCUGCCCACAUGCAUUUCGUCACCCCCUCACUCCAAAGGGGAGGAGUAAAGGUCACAAAAAAUUCCCGUCAGUCACCUAAUGACCACAAGCCAAAUCAAUCAGAAUCAGAAUGAGCUUUAUUGCCAGG